rnacentral:rRNA from 1 species
GUGGGGAAUCUUCCGCAAUGGGCGAAAGCCUGACGGAGCAACGCCGCGUGAGUGAUGACGGCCUUCGGGUUGUAAAGCUCUGUUAUAUGGGACGAACGGGCAUGGGGCCAAUACCCUCAUGCAGUGACGGUACCGUAAGAGAAAGCCACGGCUAACUACGUGCCAGCAGCCGCGGUAAUACGUAGGUGGCAAGCGUUGUCCGGAAUUAUUGGGCGUAAAGGGCGUGUAGGCGGCCAGACAAGUCUGUCUUAAAAGUGCGGGGCUCAACCCCGUGAUGGGAUGGAAACUGUCGGGCUAGAGUGUCGGAGAGGAAAGCGGAAUUCCUAGUGUAGCGGUGAAAUGCGUAGAUAUUAGGAGGAACACCAGUGGCGAAAGCGGCUUUCUGGACGACAACUGACGCUGAGGCGCGAAAGCCAGGGGAGCAAACGGGAUUAGAAACCCGAGUAGUCC